UGGUGGGGCGGUACGGUCGAGCCACGAUCAGUUCCAUGCUGUGCGCGAUACGGUAAACUACGCGGUAGUGUUCGUACUUGUUUUCUAUUUGGAAAUCGCGUUAUUUUACGUUUUUUCGCGAUAGUGAAAGUAACAUUAAUCUGUAUAGUGAUCCGGUUCGUUAUUUAAGUACGGUGGGAAGAAGAUUUUUACGUGUCGGACAUUUCGGACUAAUAAGUGUUCACGCGUCUCUUGUGAAGUGAUAUGUUAGUGCCGAAUAUCGCGUUGACAGUGCAUCAGAUCGCGAAUAAACGAAAAAUUCACCUUCUGGAAAGAAUAUUUCGCGUAAAACGCGUCGAUCGGAUACAAACUUUUCCUGUUUUCGUCCAUCGAAGUUACUAAUUCGCAGGUGUCAAACAUGGACAUAACCUGAUCUUGACCAACGUAGUAGAAGCUUUAUAUAAUUCUCGAAGAUGAUUCGUUAUUAGAAAAAGAACAGCCAAUGAGAGCUCGCGAAUUCCGUGAACCAGGAAUUUUCUUCCUUUUCCUGUACUACUUUUGGCGGGAUGUACCUUGUGUAUUAUUACGCAGCUAGAAAUGUAGUGUGACGCGUGUUUGGCAUGUGUUUCGAAAAAAAGUUCGUAGAAUCAUCGUUUGUGUUGAUCGUUUCGUUAACGUAUUAUCGAAAUGUUUGUUGUCUUGCCGCGGGCUGUGGUCAAGUCGAAGCAAUUUCAACAGAACCGUGUUUCUCGGAAUCGCGUGUGACUGACGCUAUGACACGAGGACAAUGCUCGGAAUUUCGGUUUUGAAUUUUGCCUUGACGUGACACGCGUCGACGAGGCCCGAUGUAGUGCGCGGAUUGCUAUGACAUUUGGCUUUGACUGAGUGGCUGUUAGAGUGCCGUAUCUCUAUCAUCUCUGGGAAUCUGAUUUAUGUUGCCGUGUACCAAAUUUCCUGUGACAUCGAACGGUGGAAUCUCGGAGGCCCGUGGCGCGAAUCGCGAGGAGGA